ACGCUCGACACCUACGGGGGCAGCAGUGGGGAAUAUUGCACAAUGGGGGAAACCCUGAUGCAGCGACGCCGCGUGAGCGAAGAAGUAUUUCGGUAUGUAAAGCUCUAUCAGCAGGGAAGAAAAUAACGGUACCUGACUAAGAAGCCCCGGCUAACUACGUGCCAGCAGCCGCGGUAAUCUGAGGCGGGCUGGCAAGGC
rnacentral:rRNA from 1 species